GACGAACGCUGGCGGUGUGCUUAACACAUGCAAGUCGAACGGAAAGGCCCUGCUUUUGUGGGGUGCUCGAGUGGCGAACGGGUGAGUAACACGUGAGUAACCUGCCCUUGACUUUGGGAUAACUUCAGGAAACUGGGGCUAAUACCGGAUAGGAGCUCCUGCUGCAUGGUGGGGGUUGGAAAGUUUCGGCGGUUGGGGAUGGACUCGCGGCUUAUCAGCUUGUUGGUGGGGUAGUGGCUUACCAAGGGUUUGACGGGUAGCCGGCCUGAGAGGGUGACCGGCCACAUUGGGACUGAGAUACGGCCCAGACUCCUACGGGAGGCAGCAGUGGGGAAUAUUGCACAAUGGGCGGAAGCCUGAUGCGGAAACGCCGCGUGCGGGAUGACGGCCUUCGGGUUGUAAACCGCUUUCGCCUGUGACGAAGCGUGAGUGACGGUAAUGGGUAAAGAAGCACCGGCUAACUACGUG
rnacentral:rRNA from 1 species